ACUUUGGGUGGAAGUGGACUUUGGGUUGAAGUGGAGUUUAGGUGAAAAUCAAUUUACUUCCGCUGUUUGUUUCUAACUGUGGAAGUGCAGUUUUGUGAGUUCUGUUGUUUGUUUGGUAGGAAGUAGAUGACGUAAAAAGUGUAGCUCUCCACCCCCGGUAUACUUACCUCCGAAGUGAUAUUAUUGUCUAUUUUGUAACUUAGUGAAUAAUAAAUUAUAAUAAAUAAAAAUUAAUAUAAUUAUAUAUGUAUAUAAUUAUAUAUAUGUAUAAUUAUAAAAUAAAAUUUUUAAAAAUUAUAUUAUUUGUUUGCAUAUAAAUUAUAAUAAUGCAACAAAUAAAAUUCUAAAGUUAAAAAAUUAUUAACAUUUAACAAAUUCAUUUUUCAUCAUUUUCUAAAUAUACAAAUUAGACAAAAAAAUAUAUUAAAACUUACCUAACCAAAUUUGAUCACAUUACCUAACCAAAUUUAACAAGUUCCUUUGCCUCUUUGCACUUCACCGGAAUUGACUUCGCUCCGUGGGAGGGCGAAGUCAAUUAGCCUAUUUUGGGUGAACUCGACUUUCGGCCGUAAUAAAAUUGCGGCAAAACAAACAACGGAAGUGAUAGUAGCAUGCUACCUGCUUCAUUUACUUAGCUGAAAAUGUUACAAUUUUAAAAUUUUAAGAUUUUAAAUUUAAAAUUUUUAACAUAAUUUAAAUUUUGAAAUCUGAAAUUUUAGAUUUUUAAAAAUAAUGUUACAAUUUUAAAUUUUGAAUUUUUUUUAAGAGAAAUGUAGCAUGCUACCUGCUUCAUUUACUUAGCUGAAAAUGUGAAUGAACUAAGAUUCGAACUUGGGACCUCGGAUACCAACCACCAGGCACUUUGUCACUUGCGCUAGGAGAUUAAAAUAUAAAAAUUUAAUAUUUAAAAAAUAAUAUCUAAAUUUAAAAUUAUAAAAUUUAAAAUUUAAAACUUCAAAUUUCAAAUUUCAAAUUUUAAAUUAAAAACAAAAAGUUAAAAUUUAAAAGUUAAAAUUUAUUUUUAAAUUUUCAAAUAUAAACUUAAAUUUUAAAAUUGAAUCUAAAUUUUAAAUUUAAAUUUAAAAUUUGAGUUUAAAAUCAAAGCUGAAAAUGUAAAAUUUCAAAAAUUAGAUUUUAACAACUUAUGAUUUUCAACCACUAAAAUUAUAUACUGAUUAUUAUAAUAAUUAAAAUC
rnacentral:lncRNA from 1 species